GGAGCUGGAAAGGUGGAGGCGGAAGUGACUGAUCAAUUCAGGGGCGUGGGGUUCGUUUAGGUUUUGCCCUGUGUAUGACCUCGUUUGGAGCCAUGAAACCAGGUCUGUGAAAUUUAGUGUCUAUUUUCUACCAUAACACAUGUUAAUUUGGACUAACCACAUUUCGAGUGCUCAGUAGCCACAUGUGGCUAGCGACUACUAUCUUGAGCAAUGCAACGAUAAGUCUGCACUUACGUUCAAAAAGACUUAAAGCAGGGAUCGACAACCCCCAGGCCACAGACUGGUAUGGAUCCAUGGCCUGUUAAGAACUGUGCCACACAGCAGGAGGUCACCAUGUGUGAUGACUACAUCCAAAGAGAGUGAGUGGCUUGAGACAUUGGUAGUAUGUGUAUCUGAUCAUAUCAAUAUGUUAAAAUGACGUUCAAAGUAUGAUCUACCUCAGAAUAAUCUAGCCUCAAGCUUUAUUCUAGGAAGGUAAUUCUGAAGAUACCUAUCUUCUUGAGAGUGAAAUUUUAUGGAAUCCUAGAUUUCUCAUACCUAGGAAUAACAAUACAAGGGACAGAAUAGUUAGCAGUGUUCCUGUUGAAAGGUCCAAGUAUCUCCCUAGGCACAGAAAACACCCAA
rnacentral:lncRNA from 1 species